rnacentral:rRNA from 1 species
CGGGGUGAGUAACGCGUGGGUAACCUGCCUCACACAGGGGGAUAGCAGUUGGAAACGGCUGAUAAUACCGCAUAAGCGCACAGUACCGCAUGGUACAGUGUGAAAAACUCCGGUGGUGUGAGAUGGACCCGCGUCUGAUUAGCUUGUUGGCAGGGUAACGGCCUACCAAGGCAACGAUCAGUAGCCGACCUGAGAGGGUGACCGGCCACAUUGGGACUGAGACACGGCCCAG